AUGCUGCUCCAUUGAGUGCUGCACAGAAGUGCCACUUUGUUAGUGUGCCUGUGUACACAGAAAAGAUCGCAAACAUUUUCUAAGUGCAAUGCUACUACUUAAUAGUCAGU